UAUUUGAAGAAAUGAAUCGAUUUCGAAUGGAUAUUAUCCAUGUUAACGGUGUUAAGUAAAGUUUUGUAGAUAUAUUCAUAAUGAGAGUAUAUCCAAAAAUAGUCUUGGCUAAUUACGUGCCAGCAGCCGCGGGAAUACGUAAGAGACUGUGUUAUUCAUCGAAUUUGGUAUAAAGGGUACCUAGACAGCCAUUAUGUCAUAAAUAAAUGUAACACAUGGCUAGAGUUUUAUAUAGGAAGUUUUCAGUAUCUGGAGUGAAUUAGAGUUAGAAUUUUUUAAUACCAAAGGGACUGGUAAAGGCGAAGACAGACUUUUAUGUAAAAACUGACGUUGAGGGACGAAGGCAUUGAGGCAGGAACAGGAUUAGAUACCCUAGUACUCUUUGCAGAAAAUGAUGAGUGCCAAAAAUUAGAUUUUAAUACUAUCACGAUGUAAGUUAACGGUACAAUUCGUGUAAUAGAUAUAAAUAUAGUUUUUAAGCGAAAGUGAAAGCAUUCCACCUCAAGAGUAAUGUGGCAACACAGAAACUGAAAUCACUAGGCCGUUUCUGACCCCAGUAGUGAGGUAUGUUAUUUAAUUUGAUGAUCCACAAAAAAUCUUACCACAAUUUUAAAACUUUUAUCUGCCUUUAUUAUUAAAGGUUAAUAUUAAAAUGUUAUAUAACAUUUUAAUUUAAGAUAAUUGAUACGAAAGUUACCAGAUUAUAUUUAUUAAUUUAGAUUUAAUAUGGACAAGGUGUUGCAUGGUUGUUUUAAGUUAAUAUCGUGAGAAAUGGCGAAACCUAAGAAUUAACAGAAUCCUUAGCUUUAUUUAAAAUAAAGCGUUCAUUUUGGAAAUUAAGAUUCAAGACAAGAAGGAGUAAAACAAAUCAUCAUGACCUUUAUUAUGUAUUGUGGGCU
rnacentral:rRNA from 1 species